GAAUAUUGGACAAUGGGCGCAAGCCUGAUCCAGCAAUGCCGCGUGUGUGAAGAAGGCCUUCGGGUUGUAAAGCACUUUAAGUUGGGAGGAAAGCCUUUUCAUUAAUACUGAAGAGGGGUGACGUUACCAACAGAAUAAGCACCGGCUAACUCCGUUCCAGCAGCCGCGGUAAUACGGAGGGUGCAAGCGUUAAUCGGAAUUACUGGGCGUAAAGCGCGCGUAGGCGGUUUGUUAAGUCAGAUGUGAAAUCCCCGGGCUCAACCUGGGAAUGGCAUUUGAGACUGGCAGGCUAGAGUGUGGUAGAGGUGAGUGGAAUUUCAGGUGUAGCGGUGAAAUGCGUAGAGAUCUGAAGGAACAUCAGUGGCGAAGGCGACUCACUGGGCCAUUACUGACGCUGAGGUGCGAAAGCGUGGGUAGCAAACAGG
rnacentral:rRNA from 1 species